AGGCUCCGGCACUCCCCGCGACCCUCGUGAGGAUAAGCGGCAGAGAAAAUGGGCGGAUGAAUUAAAAGAGAGAACAAUCAAUUAUUUUAUCCAACUUUUUUCGCCAUUAAUGUGUCACCCUCACUAGGGCCGCGGUGGCGCUGGCUUCGGGCGAGAGGCGGCAAACACCCCGGACUUUGCACCUACGGACAAUUUUGAGUCAUUUGUUGACUGACCCUACAAGUUUCUGGCAUGUGGAAGGAAAAUGGGCGUACCCGAAGACAAACAGGCAGAUAUUCAAACAAGCUUCUUCCCUCUCGCCAUUAAAUUGCCGGGGGACUUUGAAUCAUUUGCGAAAUAUUAAUUUUAUUUGCAUCAACACGUUACCACUACUCUGUCAUUGCUCACUGUAGUGUUCAAUAUUUUUGGGGUCUUUUGGCCGUCUAUUGUCACAUCAGAGCGCCUGCAACUCACUGGAGACAAAUUCCUUGGGCGUUUUUGGCAUACUUAAAAAUUGAGAUAAUUCUGAUUCUGAACAAUGACACACACAAAAAUAAAAAUGACUCAUUUUGCACACAUGGUUAAAAAAAAAAAAAGACAUUUAUAGGGUGGGAGGAGGUUUUGCUUUUUUUUUUUUUUGUUUUUCUCUCUGCCAAGAAAUCCAUCCACACACGCGUCUAUAAUUUGGCCAGCAUGCGCAAAGUUUUCCUGAUAACUACGAGCGUCGAGAGUCGCGGAUUGGUCGAGUUCGGCGAGGCAAAGGUGGCAAAAACCGACGGUGAUGUCAUUCAAUUGGACGCUGAACUUGUCGGAACAAACCAUCUGUUGAAAAUCAAUUGGCCUUAAAGGAACGUGGGACAGCAAUUUCUUUCAAAGUGUGUGGAAAUUCCAGCGCAACCGUUCAUACGCGCGGACGGUACGGCGACAAAAAAAAAAAACAACCAACGACUGUCUAAGAGCUUUCCCUCUCAGAGUUUUCGACUUUUUCUGAUGCACAUUUCCGAUGUUCCGCCGAAGAGCUAUUUUGGGGAUGCAGAACGUAGCAAAACCCCGGAGGGAGCGGCUUUUUUUUUUUUUUUUUUUUUUUUCAUCGUGGCAGCCAUUAAUCCGCCGCCGAAGCGAGGAAAUACCGUAAACGCAUUUCCUAAUCCAAACAGACGCGUAUUAGCAAGUAAUUCAACCGACAGUAUCGUUAAUACUCGUUGAUUUCCUGAUUACGCUCGCGUAGCUUGCAAUUGUUUGAUACGCCUUGCGCGGUGAGUCACGACGCGGGACGACGGCCGUUUGCUUUCCUGGUUUCGUGCGGGCCGGCGGGCACGGCCGAGCGAGACAAACGGUGACGUCGCAGCGGCACACAGGAAACGCUCCCCCCCACCCCUUGCACAUUUGCCGAUGUUUGUUUAAACUGGCCUCUGUGGUACGGCGAACCGCAUCGCGGCAAACAAAAAAAAAAAACGCCUCGCUAGCGACACGCCGGGUCCCCCUCGAGACCCCUCGUGACUCGUCGUCCUCUUAUCGGGAUCAUCUGGACUCUUAAGCGGGGAAAGCGACGGCGUGGCCAUUGGGAGCCCAAAGCAGGAACAUGAGAAAGGAACUCGGGAGAAUGCAGAACCGGCUCAAUCUGUUAACAAAAGGAGGAGACUCCUUCCUGGUGCUCGGAGGACGGAUGACGUGGGAAGUUGAAAAAAAAAAUGGAUUUGAAUGGCAUUGGAGUCCGCGUUUGGACGCAGAGUUCGUCGUGUGACGGCAAACAAUCGCAACGCAUUCUGCAGUCAACGCUUCUUUUGAUCGACGCCCACAUUUAAAGGCUGUUGCCGUGGCAGCCGCCUUCAAUAACAGAUCAGAACAAAGAGAAAGCUCGCACGAUUGUGGAAUUGUCAUUCAUUCUUACGCAAUGAUUUCAUUUUUCUGUUUUGAAAUUAUUUCCUAAUACGUAUUCCCCCCCCCCAUUGUCUUUUAUCCCAGUUUGAAAUGUUGACUUCAGAUUUUUUUUCAAUGGCUAUAUUCUUUUUUUUUUUUAAAUCAUUUUCAAGUUUUUUUCAUGUAUUGUUCGUUGCUAUAUUUUUUUAUUUAAUGUUUUGCCAUAUUAAACACUUUCAUCAGCUGUAUUAUUCUUAAAAAUUCUUAAUAAUAAAGCUGAACUGGAUUGUGCUAACUUCCGUA